GGGAGACAAAUGAGUGCGUAGCACCCGGAUCUAUCAAAACACGAGCCUCAUAAGAACAGACCAGAAGAAUACCUGCCACAACUGCAUUUGAAGCUUGAGCAUCCUGGUGGGUCNCAUCCUGGUGGGUCAGAGUGAAAACCCGAGCUUGACCCCUACCCUGAGUGGCAGAACCCUGAUACUGACUUUUACCUCCUGAUCUGCCUCCAAAUCCACGUCCCCCUUGUCCUCGGCCCUGUUGGCCACUGAACUGACUGCCUGCCAUGUUGGAAGCACCCGGAUACAACUGUCGAGGAACAUUUGCAACAGAACCCUGUGACCCCAUCUGUGGCUCACUGAAAACGGGGCAGUCUCUAGCAAAGUGGCCCGGUUGGCCACACCUGAAGCAUACUCCUGACCCCAUCAAACAAGGUCCUGAAUGUCCUCUUCCACACUGUGCACACGGUGCCAAAGAGGAUCCUGAACCAGAGCCAGAACUGCCUUGCCCUGAACUGUUACCACUGCUGGAUCCGUACCCUGGUCUGA
rnacentral:misc_RNA from 1 species